ACAACAACAUUCGGACCGUCGGUCUACCGAGCAAUAUCACCCGCUCGGUGGAAGAUCUUCCCUUUGUCGUUUAAG
rnacentral:pre_miRNA from 1 species